GGAUAGCUCAGCUGGUUAGAGCACGGUACUGAUAAUGCCAUGGUUGCUGGUCCAAUCCCUCUAAGGGGCAGCU